rnacentral:rRNA from 1 species
GACGAACGCUGGCGGCGUGCCUAAUACAUGCAAGUCGAGCGAGUCUGCCUUGAAGAUCGGAGUGCUUGCACUCUGUGAAACAAGAUACAGGCUAGCGGCGGACGGGUGAGUAACACGUGGGUAACCUGCCCAAGAGAUCGGGAUAACACCUGGAAACAGAUGCUAAUACCGGAUAACAACAGAUGAUGCCUAUCAACUGUUUAAAAGAUGGUUCUGCUAUCACUCUUGGAUGGACCUGCGGUGCAUUAGCUAGGUGGUAGGGUAACGGCCUACCAAGGCGAUGAUGCAUAGCCGGGUUGAGGGCAUGAACGGCCACAUUGGGACUGGGACACGGCCCAAACUCCUACGGGAGGCAGCAGUAGGGAAUCUUCCACAAUGGACGCAAGUCUGAUGGAGCAACGCCGCGUGAGUGAAGAAGGGUUUCGGCUCGUAAAGCUCUGUUGUUGGUGAAGAAGGACAGGGGUAGUAACUGACCUUUGUUUGACGGUAAUCAAUUAGAAAGUCACGGCUAACUACGUG